AGGUUACCAAGUAGAUCCAGAUUCGAGCCAACAAAAUUGCACCCACUAAGAUACAUCUCCUCCACAGACUUCAGAUGACUGAUUGAAUCUGGUUCCAAAUGAAUUGAGAUCCGCGUGUAUGACAGAUCCAAAUGCGAAAGAGCAUUGCUCAAAUUGUAUUGCGGAAAAGAGCCAGUGAGUCCUUCGUUGCUCCAUAAAUCGAGCCAUUGAAGGUUUGAUCGGCGAAAUAAAUUAUCAGGGAGUUCCCCUUUCAAUCCACAACGCCAGAGUUGGAGAGUUGACAAAGAAGAAGACAAGUUCAUCAAGGAACUGGGUACCACUAAAGACAUGUUCACUCCACCCAAGUAGAGUUCUCUUAGCUGGGUAAGGUUCUGAGCAAGCUUGUUGAAAGAAAUCGGUUCCAGCAUCAGCUCCUCAGAGUUGGAAGAGAGAUCAAGUGACACCAAUCUGGAUAAAUGGGAGAUUUCUGGGGGAACUUGGCCUGCAAAAUUCGAUGAAUUUAGAUUUAAAUGCGUCAAAUGCAAGAACUGGCCAAAGGAAGAUGAAAUGACAGAGCGAUUGAAGUCAUUGCGGGAGAGAUCGAGCUUCUGAAGAUGAUGAAGGGAGAAGAGAGUGCUGUUAGAAUGGAGGGUGCCAUAAAGCAUGCUGCAACCAAGGUCUAGGCCAAUUACAUGGCCAGUUUUCAUGUUGCAUGUCACGCCAUCCCAAGUGCAGCAAUCUGUACCCUCUUUCCACAGCACUUUCUCGGGUGGAUAACAUGGAAAUGUAGAUGGAGAAGAAGGCAUGGGAAAGGAAUUUUUGAAUUGGAGCAAAGCCAGGCUCUGGUCACGGGGGCAUAAUUGUACUGAAGAGGAGAAAUUGGAAGAAGAAUGAGCAGGUUGGGAGUGCGAAUGGAAGAAAAGAAGGCAGAGAAAUUGAGCGAGCAACAAUGAAGAUCCCAUCAUUCCCUAAAAGUGCUCUUCUUAGAGAUUAACUUAGAUUGUUGGGAGACUUCUAUUAGAAUGUAGUCUAUAUAUAGAGACUUCCGGAAUGCAUAUUUUCCCUAAUAUUUAAAUAAUCAAUUUUAUAUGUACUAAUAUUUGCACUCAAUUUGUCCAAAUAAAUAUUAAUAUUAUAGCAUUGUAAAGAGAUCUUUGAUUUUUAAUCUGUUUCGAUUUUAUAAACUCUGAUUUUUAUUUUUUUUGCUAAUCAAA